AGAGUUUGAUCAUGGCUCAGAUUGAACGCUGGCGGAAUGCUUUACACAUGCAAGUCGAGCGGCAGCGCGGGGCAACCUGGCGGCGAGCGGCGAACGGGUGAGUAAUGCAUCGGAACAUGUCCAUGUCGUGGGGGAUAGCCCGGCGAAAGCCGGAUUAAUACCGCAUACGCCCGAGAGGGGAAAGCCGGGGACCGCAAGGCCUGGCGCAAUUGGGUUGGCCGAUGUCCGAUUAGCUAGUUGGCGGGGUAAGAGCCCACCAAGGCGAUGAUCGGUAGCUGGUCUGAGAGGAUGAUCAGCCACACUGGGACUGAGACACGGCCCAGACUCCUACGGGAGGCAGCAGUGGGGAAUUUUGGACAAUGGGGGAAACCCUGAUCCAGCCAUUCCGCGUGAGUGAAGAAGGCCUUCGGGUUGUAAAGCUCUUUUGUCCGGAACGAAACGGUGCUCGUGAAUAUCGAGCGCUACUGACGGUACCGGAAGAAUAAGCACCGGCUAACUACGUGCCAGCAGCCGCGGUAAUACGUAGGGUGCGAGCGUUAAUCGGAAUUACUGGGCGUAAAGCGUGCGCAGGCGGUUUUGUAAGCCAGAUGUGAAAUCCCCGGGCUUAACCCGGGAAUGGCAUUUGGGACUGCAAGGCUGGAGUGCGGCAGAGGAGACUGGAAUUCCCGGUGUAGCAGUGAAAUGCGUAGAUAUCGGGAGGAAUACCGAUGGCGAAGGCAGGUCUCUGGGCUGACACUGACGCUCAUGCACGAAAGCGUGGGGAGCAAACAGGAUUAGAUACCCUGGUAGUCCACGCCCUAAACGAUGUCGACUGGUUGUUGGGGGUUUGACACUCUCAGUAACGAAGCUAACGCGUGAAGUCGGCCGCCUGGGGAGUACGGCCGCAAGGUUAAAACUCAAAGGAAUUGACGG
rnacentral:rRNA from 1 species